UUUUGGUUGGUUUGUUUCACAGAUUUUCAUCAAACUUGGAAAACAUGGGAUCAAAUGGAAUGGUCUACAAAUAUGGAUAGUUACCAAGUUAGUUUGUAACUAACUUAGUAACUAUCCAUAUUAAAUACAGCAUGUAGACUUAAUGGUCAUAACUGCUGGUGGUGUUGGACAAUCAGCUGUUGAAUACUUUUUUAAACGGCCUCUUUUUGAAAAUGAAGACCAAAAUUCAGCUGAUAGGAAACUAAACCGGAUUAAUUGUACAAGAGAAACAACUCAACAUAUCAGGUUCAAGUCAUAGUCGAGGAGGGGUCGUCUCACCCGGUCCAAUGUCAGGUCAACCCGACUGGUUUGGAUGGGGUUGUGGUCUGGGGUGAUGCAACAUUCCCCUCACCUUCUUUUUAUAAUCCGACUCGACUCGACAGCCGGAUGAGUUUUCUCUUCAAGAUGAGAACCACUACAUUCCAAAUGGAGCCUCGUCUGUAUUUAAUUCAACUGGUGCCAGUGGAGGAUUGCAGCAGCAAUGGAGUCGAGAGGAGACGUAUAACCGGGACGAGGAGCUAUUAUUUCGGCCCCGUGGACACUUGACGUCUGGCGGGAGUCAACCGAGUCCGUUCCACCGGAGGGAACCCUCAGCGCGCAUCGCCUGGUGGAGUCAGAAGCUUCCGUGGGUGGAGAUGACGCUCGCUGCCGUGAUGAUAUUCCUGUUUGUUGUUAUUGCUAAAAACGGUUAAAAAAACAUGUUUUGUAAUAAUGUAAUGUAAUAAAUAAUCUGUGAAACUGUGA